UACGUAGGGUCCGAGCGUUGUCCGGAUUUAUUGGGCGUAAAGAGCUCGUAGGCGGUUUGUCGCGUCUGCUGUGAAAACUCAGGGCUUAACCCUGAGCCUGCAGUGGGUACGGGCAGACUAGAGUGUGGUAGGGGAGAUCGGAAUUCCUGGUGUAGCGGUGGAAUGCGCAGAUAUCAGGAGGAACACCGGUGGCGAAGGCGGAUCUCUGGGCCAUAACUGACGCUGAGGAGCGAAAGCAUGGGGAGCGAACAGG
rnacentral:rRNA from 1 species